AACUGACAGCCCUUUGUUUACUGUAUUUUUAAAUUAUUUUUUACAUUUUGGUAAAACAGCCGGAUACAGUGGCUUGCACCUGUGGUCUCAGCGACUUGGGCGACUGAAGCAAGAAGAUCACUUGAGCCUAGGAGUUCGAGGCUACAGCAAGCUAUGACCGUGCCACUGCACUCCAGCCUGGGCGUGACAGACCAGCUCUUCUUCUGAAGGAUGACCACCUGGAAUAAGAGCAGCCCUAGGCCCCCCACCUCACUCCAGGUGGCAGAUCCACAGAGAUGGUAGCGAUACAGAAGCACAGCUUCCGAUGGCUUCCCCGUGUCUUCAGUUUGCAGCCUUAUUUCGGUGCUUGGACGUGCUUAACUUCUCAGGUUGGUGACUUCCCCCGAAACUCCAAAUUCCUUCCUGGAACAUCACUUUCCCCAGAUCCUCCUACGACCAGACAACGUCCCAUUCUUGAACUAAAUCCCUUGUGCCAUAGAGAGCUCACAGUGCCUCUGCUUUCUGAGUGAACCCUGAAUGAUUCAAAAUUCUGUAUCACACCAGGGGAAGAAACUUCCAAGUGGUGAGUGAUUGAGAGAAUAGUUCCUACUCCUGGAAACCAAAUAAUUGCUGGUUAUUAUCAUGUCAUUAUUAACUAGUAAUAAUAGUAGCCGGCAUUUACUGAGCACCCACCAUAUGCCAGACACACGGCCUUAUAUGCCUUGUGCCAUUUAAUACUCACAAAAACCUGCUGAGGUAGGUACUUGUCCUAUUUUGCAGGUGAGAAAGUUUUUAGAGCUAGCUCAGUGCUGAAAAUGUACACUCUUGACUAUGCUAUUUUCAUAAAAUUCUCCUCCACAUGUCACACAUUGAAAUUAUUUGUUUACAUAUCAGUGUCCUCUACUAGAAUAUGACAUUUCAAGGUCAAAAAGUACAUAUUUUUGAUAUCUUCAUUCUUAAAGACAGAGUCUGAAAAUUAGAAGGUCUAUGAUAAAUGUUUGCUAAAGAAAUUGAUGAAUAGAAGGAACAGUGGUGAGAAGUGUGGCCGGCAUUAGUACUUCUGGUUAAAGAAAACUGGCAGUGAGUCUUGCGACCGACAUUUGUUCACAUUUCCAGGAUGGGAGCCUAGCUACAUAAAAGAAUUCAGAAAGAAUACAGAGUAAGCAUAUGCUAUUAAUGGGAGCAAUGGUGAUAAAAAGAAAAUGUUAUUAUCCAGAUCACUUCACAUUUUGGUGGGAGGUCAGGGACAACAGGGAAGGGCAUGCAUUUUAUAGAAAAAGCAUUUCAAAAAGUACUUUGGAAUGUGGCAUUUGUUUUUACUUUAAGGAGCACAUACACCUACUUGGCAGUAGGGGGAGCAAGAUGCAGGGAAAUCUAAAAUUUUACACUGGACAAAAAAUGUGAAGACAACUGAGUCAUCUAGGGAUAAAAGCAUGGGAAAGUGAUUUGACACAAAGCUGUCUGAAAUGGGCUAUUGAUAUAUUUUAAAUACUAACUCCUUAACUUAAAAUAGUUUUGAAUUGGAUACUUGAAAG
rnacentral:lncRNA from 10 species